AUUGAACGCUGGCGGCAGGCCUAACACAUGCAAGUCGAGCGGAGCGGCGGACGGAUGAGUAAUGCCUAGGAAUCUGCCUGGUAGUGGGGGAUAACGUCCGGAAACGGGCGCUAAUACCGCAUACUAUCAGAUGAGCCUAGGUCGGAUUAGCUAGAUGGUGGGGUAAAGGCCUACCAAGGCGACGAUCCGUAACUGGUCUGAGAGGAUGAUCAGCCACACUGUGACUGAGACACGGCCCAGACUCCUACGGGAGGCAGCAGUAGGGAAUCUUCUGCAAUGGACGAAAGUCUGACCGAGCAACGCCGCGUGAGUGAAGAAGGUUUUCGGGUUGUAAAGUACUUUCAGCGGGGAGGCGUUACCCGCAGAAGAAGCACCGGCUAACUCCGUGCCAGCCGCCGCGGUAAUUC
rnacentral:rRNA from 1 species